GACGAAGGUGGCGAGCGUUGUUCGGAAUCACUGGGCAUAAAGCGCACGUAGGCGGCGACGUAAGUUGGGUGUGAAAUCCCUCGGCCCAACCGAGGAACUGCGCCCAGUACUGCGUUGCUUGAGGAUCCAAGGGGUGCAUGGAAUUCCCGGUGGAGCGGUGAAAUGCGUUGAUAUCGGGAGGAACUCCGGCGGCGAAAGCGGUGCACUGGUGGAUUACUGACGCUGAGGCGCGAAAGCCAGGGGAGCAAACGGG
rnacentral:rRNA from 1 species